AUUGAACGCUGGCGGCAUGCCUUACACAUGCAAGUCGAACGGUAACGGGCCUUCGGGUGCCGACGAGUGGCGAACGGGUGAGUAAUACAUCGGAACGUGCCCGAUCGUGGGGGAUAACGAGGCGAAAGCUUUGCUAAUACCGCAUACGAUCUACGAAUGAAAGCAGGGGACCGCAAGGCCUUGCGCGGACGGAGCGGCCGAUGGCAGAUUAGGGAGUUGGUGGGAUAAAAGCUUACCAAGCCGACGAUCUGUAGCUGGUCUGAGAGGAUGAUCAGCCACACUGGGACUGAGACACGGCCCAGACUCCUACGGGAGGCAGCAGUGGGGAAUUUUGGACAAUGGGCGCAAGCCUGAUCCAGCCAUGCCGCGUGCAGGAUGAAGGCCUUCGGGUUGUAAACUGCUUUUGUACGGAACGAAAAGCCUUCUUUUAAUACAGGAGGGUCAUGACGGUACCGUAAGAAUAAGCACCGGCUAACUACGUG
rnacentral:rRNA from 1 species